UACGAGGGGUGCAAGCGUUAUUCGGAUUAAUUGGGCGUAAAGGGUGCGCAGACGGUUUGUUAAGUCACUUGUUAAAUUCCUCGGCCUAACUGAGGGUAUGCGGGUGAUACUGGCGAACUAGAGGAUGGAAGAGAGAAGUGGAAUUCUCGGAGUAGCGGUAAAAUGCGUAGAUCUCGAGAGGAACACCAAUGGCGAAGGCAGCUUCUUGGUCCAUAUCUGACGUUCAUGCACGAAAGCGUGGGGAGCAAACAGGAUUAGAUACCCUGGUAGUCCACGCUGUAAACGAUGAUCACUAGACGUUAAUUCUGUUUAACAGGAUUAGUGUCGUAGCUAACGCGUUAAGUGAUCCGCCUGGGGAUUACGGUCGCAAGACUAAA
rnacentral:rRNA from 1 species